GGGAGAAGUGAUGAUAUUAUAUCCAUACCACAUUUCUGCAUUUGCUAUGAUGAUCAUUAAAUUCAUGCACUACCAUCUGAUCUCCC
rnacentral:snoRNA from 10 species